rnacentral:rRNA from 1 species
CUCGUAGGCGGUUCGUCGCGUCCGGUGUGAAAGUCCAUCGCUUAACGGUGGAUCCGCGCCGGGUACGGGCGGGCUUGAGUGCGGUAGGGGAGACUGGAAUUCCCGGUGUAACGGUGGAAUGUGUAGAUAUCGGGAAGAACACCAAUGGCGAAGGCAGGUCUCUGGGCCGUCACUGACGCUGAGGGGCGAAAGCGUGGGGAGCGAACA